ACGAACGCUGGCGGCGUGGAUAAGACAUGCAAGUCGAACGAGAGAAUUGCUAGCUUGCUAAUAAUUCUCUAGUGGCGCACGGGUGAGUAACACGUGAGUAACCUGCCCCCGAGAGCGGGAUAGCCCUGGGAAACUGGGAUUAAUACCGCAUAGUAUCGAAAGAUUAAAGCAGCAAUGCGCUUGGGGAUGGGCUCGCGGCCUAUUAGUUAGUUGGUGAGGUAACGGCUCACCAAGGCGAUGACGGGUAGCCGGUCUGAGAGGAUGUCCGGCCACACUGGAACUGAGACACGGUCCAGACACCUACGGGUGGCAGCAGUCGAGAAUCAUUCACAAUGGGGGAAACCCUGAUGGUGCGACGCCGCGUGGGGGAAUGAAGGUCUUCGGAUUGUAAACCCCUGUCAUGUGGGAGCAAAUUAAAAAGAUAGUACCACAAGAGGAAGAGACGGCUAACUCUGUGCCAGCAGCCGCGGUAAUACAGAGGUCUCAAGCGUUGUUCGGAAUCACUGGGCGUAAAGCGUGCGUAGGCUGUUUCGUAAGUCGUGUGUGAAAGGCGCGGGCUCAACCCGCGGACGGCACAUGAUACUGCGAGACUAGAGUAAUGGAGGGGGAACCGGAAUUCUCGGUGUAGCAGUGAAAUGCGUAGAUAUCGAGAGGAACACUCGUGGCGAAGGCGGGUUCCUGGACAUUAACUGACGCUGAGGCACGAAGGCCAGGGGAGCGAAAGGGAUUAGAUACCCCUGUAGUCCUGGCAGUAAACGGUGCACGCUUGGUGUGCGGGGAAUCGACCCCCUGCGUGCCGGAGCUAACGCGUUAAGCGUGCCGCCUGGGGAGUACGGUCGCAAGAUUAAAACUCAAAGAAAUUGACGGGGACCCGCACAAGCGGUGGAGUAUGUGGCUUAAUUCGAUGCAACGCGAAGAACCUUACCUGGGCUUGACAUGUAAUGAACAACAUGUGAAAGCAUGCGACUCUUCGGAGGCGUUACACAGGUGCUGCAUGGCCGUCGUCAGCUCGUGUCGUGAGAUGUUUGGUUAAGUCCAGCAACGAGCGCAACCCCUGUUGCCAGUUACCAGCACGUGAAGGUGGGGACUCUGGCGAGACUGCCCAGAUCAACUGGGAGGAAGGUGGGGACGACGUCAGGUCAGUAUGGCCCUUAUGCCCAGGGCUGCACACGUACUACAAUGCCCAGUACAGAGGGGGCCGAAGCCGCGAGGCGGAGGAAAUCCUAAAAACUGGGCCCAGUUCGGACUGUAGGCUGCAACCCGCCUACACGAAGCCGGAAUCGCUAGUAAUGACGCAUCAGCUACGGCGCCGUGAAUACGUUCCCGGGUCUUGUACACACCGCCCGUCACAUCAUGGAAGCCGGUCGCACCCGAAGUAUCUGAAGCCAACCGCAAGGAGGCAGGGUCCUAAGGUGAGACUGGUAACUGGGAUG
rnacentral:rRNA from 1 species